AGUUAGACUCCAUAAUAUUUAACAUGAACAAUGUCAUUUAUUUAUACCAAUUUACAUCAAUUCAAAAUCCGCCGUCUCUUUUAAUACAACUUUGAACUAUAUUCUCUAUUGGGAAUGGAGUAUCUCCUGGUAUAAGGAGAUAAAUUAUCUCCUCCUACCAGUGAAAUCAUGAUAUGGUGUCAUGUUUCAUCAUUUUCUAUAAAAAUGUUUUUAAAAACAAACAAAAUAGCACACAUGUCACAUUUUUACUGGCUAUAGGAGAUAACUUAUCUCCUGAUAUGAGAAAAUACAUUAUUCUCUAUUUCAGGAAGAUAAAGCGUGUCCAUUCAAGUUCAAACCCCUUAUCCCCCUUAUAAAUAAAAAGAAAAGGAAAAAAUUGCUUAUAAAUUAAAAAAAUAUAUGUGGGUUCAUUUCUUUACUUCAUGUACUAGUAAGAUAUUGGUGUAUUCUCAUGGUUGCUAUGUUUUACUGGUCAUAGGAAUUGUAAAAAGAGAAUAAUGUAUCUUCUUAUAUCAGGAGAUAACUUAUCUCUUCUAACCUGUAAAAAUGUGACAUAUGUGCUAUUUUGUUUAUUUUUAUAGAAAAUGAUGAAACAUGACACAUGUCAUGAUUUCACUAGUAGAAGGAAAUAAUUUAUCUCCUUAUAUUAGGAAAUACUCCAUUCCCCUUCAA
rnacentral:lncRNA from 1 species